rnacentral:rRNA from 1 species
UGGGGGAUAUUGCACAAUGGGCGAAAGCCUGAUGCAGCGACGCCGCGUGGGGGAUGAAGGCCUUCGGGUUGUAAACUUCUUUUGCUCUGAACAAGGCGCACCAUGGGGUGUGUUGAGUGUAGGGGUUGAUUAGCGCCGGCUAACUACGUGCCAGCAGCCGCGGUAAUACGUAGGGCGCGAGCGUUUUCCGGAAUUAUUGGGCGUAAAGGGCUUGUAGGUGGCUGGUUGCGUCUGUCGUGAAAGCUCAUGGCUUAACUGUGGGUUUGCGGUGGGUACGGGCUGGCUUGAGUGCAGUAGGGGAGGCUGGAAUUCCUGGUGUAGCGGUGGAAUGCGAAGAUAUCAGGAGGAAUACCGGUGGCGAAGGCGGGUCUCUGGGCUGUUACUGACACUGAGGAGCGAAAGCAUGGGGAGCGAACAGG